AGCAGCCGCGGUAAUUCCAGCUCCAAUAGCGUAUAUUAAAGUUGUUGCAGUUAAAAAGCUCGUAGUUGAAUUUCGGGAUCGACGGGUCGGUCGCGCCUCUGGUGUGUACUGGCCCUGUCGGUUUCUCCCUUCUGACGAACCACGAUGUCAUUAAUUUGGUGUCGUGGGAAAUCAGGACUGUUACUUUGAAAAAUUAGAGUGUUUAAAGCAGGCAUUCGCUUGAAUACAUUAGCAUGGAAUAAUGAAAUAGGACGUUUGAUCUUAUUUUGUUGGUUUCUAAGAUCGACGUAAUGAUUAAUAGGGAUAGUUGGGGGCAUUAGUAUUCAAUUGUCAGAGGUGAAAUUCUUGGAUUUAUUGAAGACUAACUACUGCGAAAGCAUUUGCCAAGGAU
rnacentral:rRNA from 1 species